AUCCGGCUGAUGAGUCCCAAAUAAGACGAAACGCUCGUCCUGGAU
rnacentral:hammerhead_ribozyme from 1 species